AGCAGCCGCGGUAAUUCCAGCUCCAAUAGCGUAUAUUAAAGUUGUUGCAGUUAAAAAGCUCGUAGUUGAAUUUUAGGCCUGACCGGGCGGUCCGUCUCUGGCGAGUACUCUCCCGUUGUCGGGUCUAUCCUUCUGGUGAGCCGAUAUGUCCUUCACUGAGUGUGUCGGGGAACCAGAACCAUUACCUUGAAAAAAUUUAGAGUGUUUAAAGCGAGCUUUUGCUUGAGUAGAUUAGCAUGGAAUAAUAAAAUAGGACGUUGGUUCUAUUUUGUUGGUCUAGGACCACCGUAAUGAUUAAUAGGGAUAGUUGGGGGCAUUAGUAUUCAAUUGUCAGAGGUGAAAUUCUUGGAUUUAUUGAAGACUAACUACUGCGAAAGCAUUUUGCCAAGGAUGUUUUCAUUAAUCAAGAACGAAAGUUAGGGGAUCGAAGACGAUCAGAUACCGUCGUAGUCUUAACCAUAAACUAUGCCGACUAGGAAUCGGGCGACGUUAUUUUCAUGACUCGCUCGGCGCCUUAUGG
rnacentral:rRNA from 1 species